rnacentral:rRNA from 1 species
UAUCCCCCCUGUGUGCCUUGUUCCCACGACUUACUACGCACUCCUACGGGAGGCAGCAGUGGGGAAUAUUGCACAAUGGGCGCAAGCCUGAUGCAGCCAUGCCGCGUGUAUGAAGAAGGCCUUCGGGUUGUAAAGUACUUUCAGCAGUGAGGAAGGUGGGUAUGUUAAUAGCAUACUCAUUUGACGUUAGCUGCAGAAGAAGCACCGGCUAACUCCGUGCCAGCAGCCGCGGUAAUACGGAGGGUGCGAGCGUUAAUCGGAAUUACUGGGCGUAAAGCGCAUGCAGGUGGUUUGUUAAGUCAGAUGUGAAAGCCCGGGGCUCAACCUCGGAAUUGCAUUUGAAACUGGCAAACUAGAGUACUGUAGAGGGGGUAGAAUUUCAGGUGUAGCGGUGAAAUGCGUAGAGAUCUGAAGGAAUACCGGUGGCGAAGGCGGCCCCCUGGACAGAUACUGACACUCAGAUGCGAAAGCGUGGGGAGCAAACAGGAUUAGAUACCCUGGUAG